GAUGAACGCUGGCGGCGUGCCUAAUACAUGCAAGUCGAGCGAACAGACGAGGAUCUUGCUCCUCUGACGUUAGCGGCGGACGGGUGAGUAACACGUGUAUAACCUACCUAUAAGACUGGUAUAACUUCGGGAAACCGGAUCUAAUACCGGAUAAUAUAUUUAACCGCAUUGUUCAAUAGUGAAAUACGGUUUUUCUGUCACUUAUAGAUUGAUCCUCGCCGCAUUAGCUAGUUGGUAAGGUAACGGCUUACAAAGGCAACGAUGCGUAGCCGAACUGAGAGGGUGAGCGGCCAAACGGGAAGUGAGACACGGUCCAGAGUCCUACGGGAGGCAGCAGUAGGGAAUAGUCCGCAAUGGGCGAAAGCAUGACGGAGCAACGCCGCGUGAGUGAUGAAGGUCUUCGGAUCGUAAAACUCUGUUAUUAGGGAAGAACAAAUGUGUAAGUAACUAUGCACGUAUUGACGGUACCGAAUCAGAAAGCAACGGCUAACUACGUG
rnacentral:rRNA from 1 species